UUCACAAUCAAGAUCUCGCUUUUAUUAAGCCUCACAUCACAUAAUGAUGUUCCCAAUCUCUUAGAGCUAGCUAGUAAGCAUUGUCUAAGUUUUAGAAAAGAAAAAACAAGAAAACCAAACAACUAAAAUCAAACUUAGUUAAGUAACUAAUUUUUCAACUUAUCAAAAUCCUUGCUAGGAUCAAGCUAACUCAAUGUUUCUUGCUCUUCCGUUUAACUUUGCCGUGCUUAUUCACCUGUUUAAGCUCAAGGUCAUCAGACAUGGCCGACGGAAUCUUGAGGUUUUUCAAGAUCUUAGAAGUAGCUUUCUUCGCGGAUUUAUGAUUAAGCGCGAAAAACAUAUCUUUUUCCAACUCGAACUUCAAAUACUCAGUGCAACAUUCCUCUAUAAGGUGAAACAAGUGCUUCAAAUUAUCUACUUGCACUCCAUUCACCUUCUUUACCUAUUUCCACCACAAAAAUGUAUUCAAGGCAAAGUACAUUUUCAAAGUAACUAACUCUAGAGUGUGAAACUAUAAGAUUCUCUAUAUGCAUAAGUUAUGUAUAUAUACAUUACCUGUAAAUCUUCAACCAUACUGAGUCCUGAGGUGAUAUCAUCUUCUAAAAUCUGUACAAACAAAACCUUAAGCUCUCGAUAUGAUCAAGUGCAUAUAAAAAUAUAAUGAAUGCGAAGAAAGAAAGUAAAAAACACUUAACCUGAGAAAUUAUAACGAUUUGUUCAUCGGCUUUUCUAGGCAUCUUUUCUAAAGCACAUUCGGAAACAUAAGAGUUAUCAAUGUAUGGUUGAGUUAGCGGUACAAAGACAAGACCCCCAUAUAUAUAAUAACUUGGAGGCUUUUCAAAUAGAUUCACUGGAACUAGUGGUUGCACCUACACACAAUAUAUAUAUAUCAAACCGUUAUAAAAUUGUACAAUCCAGCCACAUUACAUAUUAUGUGUGAUCUUAUUCGAAAAGCGAACGAGGACUUACGGGUUUUAGACUUAUAUUGAACUCAUGUUCUUUGCCUUCUCUUAAGACUUUAAAUAACGCUGUAUCACAUGAUUUCUUCAUAGAAACCAAAUGCUUGAAACUUACCCGUUCCUGUUUACGAAAAGGAACUGUAUACACAUGGAGAAAUUUAGUAAAUAUUGGAUACAAAUGAAAAUAAUUAUAUGUAUAAGUACCUAAUAUAUUACCUGUGCUAUCGUUUCCUAUAGGAACACCAUCAAUUGCAAGAAUAACAUCACAAUUUUUCAGGUAUUUGCAAGCAUCCGAAAGCGGGUUUAUUCGGUUUACGAGAAUCCCUGUCAUUCCCUUGGCCAUCUUCAAGUAGUCGCGGGUUUGAGCAUGCUCCAUAGUUUGAUAUGAUAAACUCAUUGAGCAGAAACUAACAUGUUGACCACUUUCUUCAACACCAUUUAGAAAAUGCCUUAUGACUGGAGUUGGAAUUAUAUAGCUGCAAAAUAUGAAAACAUAUAUAAGCUAGUUUUGUAAUCAUGUGUAACUCAAGAUUCUAUGAUUUUUAAGUACUAACCCUAUAUUAUCAGACAGCCAACAGCUUUCAAAUGCUACACCCGCGACUUUGUUUCCCAUUAUCACCGGACCACCACUGUUUCCAGAGUUGAUAGCUGCAUCUAUUUGUAUUUUCAUCAGCUCGGUCGAACUGUGACUGUAUUUUCUCAGUUCAACUCUAGACACAACACCUUUUGUAACCGAGAUACUGUCACCACCUACAUUAAUUUAACACGUACAUAACUAUAUAACCAUUUGUAAAUUACAAGUAUUAUACCACAUAGGUCAAAACCAUUCAUAAAAUAUGCUAUAAGCUUUGUAUGAUAGACAAAACAUAACAACUUACUUGUCUUUAAGAAAACUAAAUACCUUUUGGAUAGCCAACAACAGCCACAUUAUCCAUUUGGUCGGGUAUGUCACCAAGCUCUAAAGCGGUAAGACCCUCCCAAAACUCUUCGUUAUUGAUUUCCAAUAUAGCCAAAUCACAUUCGUGACCAAUUGCUAGAACUUUUGCUUUGUACUUUGUAGGUGAGCCAUGUUUUCGGACUUUCACGGAUGUAUGAUUAGCCACUACAUGAGCAUUCGUAAGGAUCUUCUUUCCUGAUAUUACAAAUCCUACAGCCAUUCCAAGCUAAGUACGUAAGCCAAACCAAAAUUUCCAAUAAAGAUUCAUGCUAGACUUAUCUAACAAAUACAUAUAAGACAAUUUUCAAAAAUAGCACUAAUUUAAAUGUUUCUUCCGAACUUAUUACACUAUCCUAUUUUCCAAAAUUAGCACAUAUGUCAAAAUUAAAUCAUAAACUCUAAACAAUAAUCCCUACCCCUAAAUACUAUACAUUGAAUGUAAAAUAGUCAACCCAAACCUAAAAAACAAUUCUAAAAAACAAUUCAAAAUACUAUAUAUAAUUUUUCAAUUAGUGUUAUUUUUAGAAAUUUAUGAAGUAUGUGCUAUAAUUAUCCAUAAAACAUAUUUUCGUGCUAUUUGAGAAUACUUCUCAUAAAUUAAUGUGAAUAUGAAUAAAAUUAUCGAUACGUACCAGAGCCAGUGCAUUCCCUCUCCAUACUAAUCUGCCAAGGUUGAAAAAUUCUUGGCUUGCUAUAGACAGUAUACACUUUCACAACCGCGUUGAAGGCCAAAUCAAUGGUAGUAGUAGUAGUAGUCUUUUUGGCAACAUCCACUUCUUUCCCUGGAAAACACUUAAUCUUCCAAUCUUGAAAUCUCCUAAAGACCGAUAAGUUCGUCAGCACCGACUUAUUCAAUGAUGGUGCAGCAUCAGAAGAAAAUAAGCGAAAAUUAGAAGAUGGACUGCAAAAAACAUCUCUCUUUGGUGCUUCAUUGCCGUGAUGGACAAGAAGGAAACCAGGAACUGUAUGAGCGCUCGAGCAUCUGCGAAAUAGGGACAAGGAACGUACACAACGGAACAACGACAUUAGAGCAGUUUAGCUAGAGUUGAUGGUUUUGAGCGUUACGAGUAUAGGUUAUAUAUAUAGUAUAUAAGAUGCUAAUAUAUGUUAGGUUACCAAAAUAAAGGGAAACUAGAUAUAAAGGAUGUUUUCAUCUAAAGAGGAUGUUUUCUUUUUUACUUUUUUAACUUUUUUCCGUAUAUAUAUGUAUAUUGUACAUAUAUUAAGUUAAUGUAAUGUUCAUAGUUUAUUAUUCAAUAUAAUGAUUUGUUAUUGAAUUUUAAAAUCCUCUACCAUACAUUUUAAGUAGAUUUGAAAGUGAAAAAUAGUUUGAAUGAAAUCCGUAGGUAAAAUUAACCAUUUUAUUUCAAAAUCCAUACGUUUUUAUGUCAAAAUUUACGAUGAUUUUUUUUAAUAAUUUUACAAGUUAAUGAAACGAAUAAACGUCCUUAAUGUAAAAGAGUACCCAUCUAAUGUAGUGUAAAAUGUAAAAAUAAAUUAUCUAAUGAAAACCUUUUUAAAAAACUUUAAAAAUUUUCAUAUUCAGUAAUUUCCUUUGGAUUUAGUUUAGUCUAGAUUCUCAUUUCUACUCCAAUAAAUUGGGUAGUCUAAAAGUGAACCACGACUGAUAACUUCUAGUAAAUCACAUUAGUAACCAAGUUGCAAUAUAAAGAAAUAAAUAGAAAGACUAUGCUUUUAAACCUAUAAAAUGAUUAUCAUCUUCCAAAAGAAACAUUACAGUGUACUAUUUAGUAAAUCGAUAGAACUAUAUUGUGCUUUAAUGAAAUCAAUAUUUAUUAAUAGAAUUGUGCAACCUUCUUUUGAUGCACAAUGGUGUAAUCAGUUAUUUUUCGCAAUAAAGUAACACAAUCUCAUUUUCACAAUCAAGAUUUCCCUUUAAGCCUCACAUAAUGAAGUUCCCAAUUUCUUAGAGCUAGUAACCAUUCCUAAUGAUUUAGUAACAAGUCAUGAUUUAUCAACUGACCUCAUUGGUGGAUGAACCUGUUCACUCUGUUGGUCUCUGAGAUGUUUAACGGGAUUUUCUGAUAAUUUAAGAUCAAAGAAGUAGCUUCUUUAGCAUUUUCAUAGUCGAUGACCACAAGUUGAAGCUUUGUUGGAUUUGUAAUGAAACAAAACAAGAGAAGAGUAGUGAGAUGAUGCUCUCUUUUUUAUGGUGGAGACGUGAGGUGAAAAGCGUGAAGAUGGAGUUUGGUAAGGUCGAGAUCGGUUCUAUCGACAAGGACAAAGCUUUUGAGUAGUUAAAACUACCUCUUUUAGUUUUUUUUUUUCUUUUAUAAAUUUCAAAACUAAGCUCUUUACAAUGGAGUCUUGCUCUCUAUUUAUAGAGAAGUAGAUAAGCUUAAACAAAACCUAGCCUUAAUCCUAAACGUCAAUAAGAAUAUCUUGAUAAUAAAGAAAAUAAAAAUAAAAAUAAAGUUAAACUAAAUCCUAAUCAAAAGAAUAAUAAGUAAACACCAAAAUAGAAAAUAGCUUGAUGGGCAAGUAACACACGAGACCAAGCCCAUCAAGGAUUAUAAUUACGGUUGCACUGCAUCAACAAGACAACAACCAUCUCGUUUUCUAAGUCUAUCCUUACGUACGUGGUGCAACAUAUAAUUUUUAAUUACAUGAUUAUAUUCCACCAUACAUAUAGUUUUUAAAGCUAUGAGAACUGUUUGACCACGUACAGAUCUAAUUCUCAAGAAACUCACGUACGACUGUGAAAACUAUAUUAUCAUUUUCUCCAUUAUAACACUUUGUAAUCGAAACUAGAAACUCAUGCAUGAUGCAUGCAUGGUACUUUUGGGUAGCCUUCACUGAAUUAAGUGAGACACAAAAAAGAAAAAUUAGACCUUCUAAAAUUUAUUUACAAACCUCUUUUAUAUUUACUUUCUUUAAUUUUUAUAAAUUGAUUAGAUUUUCUUUUAUUUUUUAUUUAUAAAUAAAAUAAUAAUAGUAAAACAAAAUAUAAAAAAAAAUUUUUUUAGUUAAAAUAUAAUUAAUAUAAUUCUUAACAAAUAAAAAUAAAAGUUAUAACCACAUCAUUUAAAAGUUACCACCAUAUCAUUUAAAGAUUAAUUCAGAUGGUACGGGUAAAAUUGGAAUUAUAUUUUUGUUUUGAGAUUGUGAGUAUGAAAUAAUAAAAAAUUAUUUUUUUGGGAUUUAAAUCAGAAAUGUUAAUUAGUAUAUGUAUUUUUCUUCAAAAAUAAGUUCAGGUUUAAACACUAAAAAAAAAAAAAAAAAAAAAAACCAGAUAUUUUUUGGGUUUUUUAGAGACACAACAAAUUGAUUGGAAAGACAAAACGAUGAGUGAUACUCCAUUUUCCUAAAUAUGGACUUUUGAUUUCCAAUAUAUAAAAAACUGACCUUUGAGAUUUCCUAUAGAGAAGUUAGAUAUAUUGCAUAUAAAUGUCCAUCCAUUGAGACUAGAAAGAGUCAGUCUUAUUCCUCAAUAUCUUCUUCAAAAUCACCUUAGACGAGUAUCUUUGUUGUGUUUUCUUCACCCCAACAAUUAUACACGUCUAGGCUUUCUUUUGGACAAUGAUGACUCAUGACUCUUGUCUUUUUUCUUAUCUUAUAUAUAUAGUCUCUUCUUUCUUUUCUAUUUUCCAAAAUUUGGUAAAUUCGUUUUGUAUUGAAACUCAUGCAUCUAUGUUUAAUCUUGUUUUGUUUGUUUUACACAGACAAAAUCUACAAGGAGCAUGAACAGUGAGUAGAACCCAAGCAUUGGAAAAAUCACUGUUUAUUCUUUAGGUAUACUUUCAACAAAGAAAAAAUGAUUCUUCCAAAACUUGUGAUAUAUGAUGGAUAUGGAUAUGUGGUGCCACAAUCUUCUUUAAUCCUGGAUUAUCUAUAUCAAUUCUCUUUAACCACAGCGACUAGGUCAUAUCAAGUGGCUUAAGUUUAUGAUAGUGAUGCUGAUACAAAUGUCAAGCUCUCGACAAGUGGUGAACAAGAAAUGAUCAGAGAAAUUGAUUUAUCAAGAGAGUUUGCAAGAACUCCUAAAGGAUUUUCAAGACAAGAUAUCAGUAGUUUCCGAGUCAGCCAAGAGUAGCCUGAUGUGCAAGUAAUUGGCAAAAAAUUGUAAUGUAAGAACAUCAAGACAUCAGCUUCGAUCUCCAUGUAAUUCAAUCUUGUAGUGAUAGCCGGAUCUAAUAAAAAUGGUUAGAGAAAUUGAUAACAAUAACCUUUUUAUGAUACCCUCUUUUAAAAAUACCCUCUUUUUUACCAUUUUCAUUUUUGCUUUCUCUUAUAUUUUAAUGGCCAUUUUACCCCUAUUUGAAAGAAUAUUCUUUCCCAAAGGAAGGAAUAUUCUAUCCAAAAAUUUUCCCCCCAAAAAUUUCCCGCCAAAAACUUUCCUGCCAAAAUUUUCCCGCCAAAAAAGUUUCCGAGAAAAGUUUUCCCGCCAAAACAAUAUCCGCAAAAAUUUUCACGCAAAAAAAAAAUAUUUUUUCAAAAUUUUCCCGCCAAAUUUUUUUAAAGGGUCUUUUAAAGGGUUUUUAAAGGGAUUUACAAGAGUUUUUAAAUGGUUUUUAAAAGAUUUGUAAUGGUUUUUAAAGGGUUUUAGAAGCCUAUAAAGGUUUUUAAAUGGUUUUUAAAAGUUUUUGUAAGUUUAUAACAGUUUGAAAAGGAUUUACAAGGAUUUUUAAAGGAUUUUAAAAAUUUACAAGGAUUUUUAAAGGUUUUUAAAAAGGAUUUACAAGUAUUUUUAAAAAUUUAAAAUUACAUGCAUAAUAACUAUUACAUUUUUUAUUUAUAUGGAUACUAAAGUGAGCAUAAUAUAAAGGUUAUGUCAUUACCAAAAUAUUCUUUUUCUGUUAAAAAACACAUAUGUUUUUGAUAAAUUUCAAAUUUUAUAGUGAAUUUUUAAUAAAAUUAGAAAGAGGUGUAUUUUUAAAAAGUGGUAUAAUAUUCUUCUUAUACAUGUCUUUUUGAUAAAUUUCAAAUUUUUAGUGACUUUUUGAUAAAAUUUGAAAGAAGGAUAUUUUUACAAAGUGGUAUUAGAAAAGGGGUGUUUUUGAAAUUCCCAUAUAAUUUUUUGCAUUUUAAUCAGAUUUGAAAAACUUAUUUUCAUAAUAGUAUAGUUUUUCGUUUUGUAUACAUUUUAAAAUAAAAAUUAUAUUUAAUUUUGUAGGUCUGUUUUUGCAAACUUCCGCAACCACAAUUGCAACCAAUACUUUUAAGCCAGGCCGGCCUUAAACACUAUUACUAAACCCACAUUCCAGAAUUAUACACACACUCUAAUUACGUUUUUUAAAUAAACGCAUAAAAAUAUAUACAGUAUAUAGUAAAAUAUGAUGUGUAAAAAUAUUUUAAUGAAAAAAUAUUACACUAAAACACUAUGAUAAAAUUUGCAAUUAAUAUAACAUACAAAAUUAAUAACUAGCAUAUAAAACAAGAAAUAUUAUAUAAAAUAGUAUUAAAAAGAUAAUAUUGAUCAAAAUCCCGCCGUGUACCGCGGGUUCAAACCUAGUGAUAUCUUACUAAGUCUAAAAGAAAAAGAUAUACUGUUUAAAAAUAAAUAUUAAUUGACAUGGUACCAAAUUCUUUGUUGGUUGCUUCCUGAAACAAAUUUGACGUCGUUACUUGCUGGUUAUGAAAUUACUUAACUCAACUUGACGAUUCGCCUUGUCGGAUUCAUUAUACUGAUGGACAUCGCUGGCUCGCUGGUUUCUGAAACAACGAAUCUCCUUUAUCUAGAAUUUAUUCUCUAACUUAAAUUCGUUGUAUAUAAUUCAGUAAAGAUGAUAAAUUAUAAAAUUAGUGUAAAGGAUAUAUAUAAAUAUUAAAAGUUAAAUUAACAUGUGUUAGUUCUUUUGUUUACAAUACUUUAUAAAACUACAAAACAUUGUAAUACCAUGUGAUUUCACAAAUAUACAUGUUAAAUAAAACCUAAAAUACAUGAAAACAUACAAAUUGGAGAGAUGUUUGUAUAUAAAUGAUUAAAAAAAUAUGAAGUGUACUAAAAGUAUACAUAGUUUAAAUGAUAAGUUAUGGGAUUGAUAAGUACUUGUCAUUAUCAAGAUAUCCAAGAUUCCUUUAAAUGAUAAGGUAUUUCAUUGGUUGAGCUAGUGGAAAGGCCUAUUAAUUAGUAACAACUCAUCACUUAUCAAGUAUAAAGAGGUCUAUUGACCAAAAAUAACUAAUUAACUUAUGUUAUGAUCGUCCAACAAUUUCAUUAAGAAAAGAGAAUUCAUAAAAACACAAAAAACAAGGAUGAUAUAAAAUACUAAUACAAAUAUAUUAAUACUAACUAUAUAUUUCAAAAAAUACUAUUUAAUAUUUCCACUAAAAGUACUCACUAAUAAUCUGAAUUUUAAUGUUGUAUGUUAACAAAAGAAUAAUUCUUGGGUUCUUCCCUAUGGGUGAACCUAUCUCAUUCACCCCAUUCUUCAUUAGCCAAUCAAAAUAUAACACUAUGCCUUGUCAUUUCUUAUUUAAAACAUGAGAGAUUACUAAUCCACUUUGAUUUCAAUGUAAAAAAAAAACAUUAAUUAGGAAGACAAAACCAUGAGUGACACUCCAUUUUCCCAAAUAUUGACUUUUGAUUUCCAAGAGAUAGAUAACUGACCUUUGAGAUUCAUUUUUGUAUAUAAACUAUAGAGAAAUAAAGAGAUAGAGAAUCACAUUUCUUUUCAUCUUCUUCUAAAACACUAAUUAGAGACAGAGUCAUCAUUGUUUACACAUACAAAAUCUUGCAAGGAGCAUGAACAGUGGUACUCAAAUUUUGGAAAAAUCACUGUUGCUCUUUAAACGUAAGAGCUCACAAUUAUACCUUUAAAGACGGAACAAUUAUUAUUCCAAAACUUGUUAUAUAUGGUGGAUAUGGAUAUGUGGUACCACAAUCUUCUUUAGUCCGGGGUUAAUAUCUAUAUCCAAUCUCUUUAACCGCAGCGACAGGGUCAGAAUCAAGUCGAUGCAAUGUCAAGCUCUCGAGCUGUUGUGAACAAGAAAUGAUUCGGAGCAAUUGAUUUAACAGAGAAGUUUGCAAGAACUUAAAAGACAAGGUCCUUAAGGAUGUCCAAGAGAAGAAGAUAUCAAGUAGUUUCCGACUCGACCAAGAGUAUCCUGAUGUCCAAGGAACUCAAGAGACAGCUUCUCCAUGUUACAAGAUCUGGCAAAAUCGAUCAAGCUGUCAAUCUAGUGUGCCCUGCUGCUCAUAUUUAUAGGAACAAUCAAUGAGAUGGGUUAAGCAGCAUUGUCAUUCUUAAAACCAAACUUAUUCUAAAAUUUGGAUCAGACCGUAAUAAAACCGAACUUAAAUCUAGAGAAUCUACUUGUCGAAACAAAAAUUAGAAUACAAAAGACUUAAAACGGACGAGAGAGUGUAUUGAUUUGGUGAGAGAAGACAAAAACAAAGUUCCAACACAUAGAGAAGUCAAGUGUCUACUACUUUCUCAAGUGGAGCUUUCUGUUUUCUGUUUCAUGGCCUUCUCGAUAAGAGGUUUCAACUGUUUCUUCUCGGCGAGAAGUUUGAGGAAGUUGAACAAAAACGGAAUGUAGUUAUGCUUCCUCCUAAUGUUCUCUGUUUUCCAUUUCAUGAACUUCUCUUCCUCCAUUAUAAUCUUAUCACUCACAGCCUCAAUCCCAAUACUCACCUCUUCAAUCAACGGGUUAAGUGUUUCUGCUUCAGUUUUGUCCAUACCAUUAGCCUGCUGCAAUAGCUGUUCCCUUUGCCUUUGAAGAUCCUUGAGUUCUGCUGUGUAGAUAUCCUUCCUGUUUUUAAUGACAGCCAAAAGAUUGAACCUAAUCUCGCUCUGUGAGUACCUCUCAAUUCGUUCUUGGAUCACUGGUUGAACCAUUUGCAGCCACUCAAUACCACUUUGGUCUCCUGGGCAUGGACCAAGGCUGAUAGGUCCUUCCUUGAGUCCAUCAAGCUCGUACAAGACUCCAUCCACAGGUAUGUAGCUUAUGAAAUGGUAUACGUCAUCAUCUUUUGUAGCAGAUUUCUGUUCCUCUGGGACGAAUGGCUCAGGCCUUGCGAAACUGUUGUGAGCAGUCCUAAUUGCCUCACUGUUAUUGAUAGCCAAACCCUUAAGGUCAGAUGGAAAGUUCUUGCUGAAUUCUUUAAGCGCUGAUAGUUCAGGCCCGAUGUCAACCUCUGGAGAGUUCAAGAGGAUAGCCAGAAUCGCUUGGGUUGCACACGCAUUGUUAAUGACCUAUAAAUUUUGAAAUUUUGAGACAAAAAUUGAAAAGAAACUACUAUUAAUCAAAUUUUUAUGACUGUGUUAUCGACACGAACCUGAUUUGCGAAAAAUAAGUUCGAAACUUGAUCCUGGAUUGUUGGGCGAUCAUCUUUUUCCCCAGCUUGCCAUUUGAAAAGAAAGAUCAGACCAUAUACAGGUCUACAAGAAAGCCACAUAGUUGAAAUGCAUUUAUCAAGAAGGCAUAGAGUUAACAGAAAAGUGAAAAUUUUAAAUCAAAGACUAUGGUGUCUGGCUCAAAAUCUUAUUUCUGCUCCAUGCGAAAAAAGGAGUCCAGAAACUUCACAAGAGGAUAAAUAGUCAUGGAUGCAAUUACUCACCUGAGGUUAUUGAGAGAAUCAAGAUCCAGCGAAUACAUUUCUUCAACCUAUGGGAAAAAAGAGAAAAAAUCAAAAGGGAUGGCCAAGUGGUGGAAACUGAUGCAAGAAAUCGUUGCAACAUCCAAUUUAAUCUAUCAAUGAUGCAUUUAGACAUCAAAAAGGGACGAGUAGGGAAAUCAGUAUAGAACUGAAUAGGCCAUGAAGUAACAGACACUUACAUAAGAAGGUAACUAAGAAGUUCCGAUUUUUUUGCUUCAGUAUAACUAUUUCUAAACUUUAGACUAAAACAUAGCAACUUACAGCAAGAAGCACAAUACCCUUUUCUCAACAUUCAUUUCAUCACCAUUCUUAAGAGACAGACAUGACUUGAUAAAGUUUCCACAUUGAAUAAAACUAUCUCCAACCACACGUAUCAUGCAAUGUUAUGCAUCCCUCUCUACCCAAAAAAAUAAAGUCAAAACUGGAGGCAAUAUCCAGAAUAUAUUCACCUGCACUCCUUUGACUUGCAUUUGUUGAAUAAGCUCUGUAAACACACCUGCACUUGCAUAAACAUAUACAUAAAUAUAGCAUUACAGAUGAAGUUCCCAUUAUGAAAGACUAACAAGACUCCACCACAGAAUACCAAUAGAAACAGACUAAGGACAGUAAUAAGAUAUAUUAAACCCAAAUAUCAUCCAAACCGAAUAUGAACUCUUCAACAGAUGCAGCUAAAAUAACCUUAAACCCAUGAAUAAUACUCCAGAAUCUUAAGAAAAGUCUCUCAUGUUUCAAUAUAGUACCAAACCCACAUAACACAGACCCCUUCAGAUAAACCCACAUCUACUCACAUUCACAAGGAUGAUAAAUUUCACAACUUUUCAUCAAAACAAGGAUUUAGCAUUCUAUAGCAUCGAUUCAAGCACAAACCCAAACCACAUAAAGAGUAAUAUAAACACUAAGAAGAGACCAACGUACCAGGAUCUGACUCAAUCGUGCACCAAGACAUGACGAAACUACCUGUGAAAACCCACGAAGCGAUCACUUACGAGCAGCGUAAUCGAUUACGAAAUAGAGUAGUAGAAGCCUGAUACUAGUGCUCAGUAGGAAAUUUCGAAGGAGAAAGAUGAAAUCGAUGGACUUACUUGUUUAAAAACCUUGCUCGAAUCGAAGUGGGAGAGAUUUUGGGAAUGCUUGAGAUCGCUUUUGUGAAAAUCCAAUUUGGGAAUUAGGGUUUAACUUGGCCAGAUUUUUUUUUUUUUUUUUUUUUCCUUUUUGUUUUUAAAUAGUCGUUUUGUCGUGUACUCUUGUUGUUUGUUUGGAUUCGUAAUAUUUUACUCGUUUGGCCUUUUUCAUAUUUGUGAAAACACAAAAAUACAAUACAAAGUAUAUUCUUCUAUGGUUUUUUUUUUUUCUCAUAAGUGAUUUUAUUGGGAUAAACCAACAUACAUGGGCUAGUAUAAAUAAAAGCCCCACAACUUUGAUUUUACAAGAAAUGUUUGAAGCCCACGAGGAGCCCGAAAGCAAACCCUAACGAAGAUGAGUUGACAUUGUGUCUCCAUCUCAAACACGUGUCAGCUAGGUACAACAAACUUAGCCACGUUGGUAGAUGAGUAAUCUAAAGGAAACCGACCUCAGCCUCUGCCGUACGACACUGAUUCCGGUGAAAGAGUCACCGUCGAUACUAAAAUCGAAUGAUGAAUCUUAUGUUUUCUUCACCGAUUAGAUGACAAUCAGAGUCUUAAAGAUAACAGCUAAAGGAAAUUGAUAAUAUGCUUCAGUUUCUUCUUCUUUUCUUCGAAAAAGUCGCCAUUCGCUGGAUAAAAUUCUUGUAAAUCUGAAACGAAAAUAUAAACAAACUAGAAACUCAAAAGGAUAAGUCGGCGAAGACCAUCAAUGAAUGAAUCGCCAUCACCAACCAGAAAUCCUUAGAACCAAAGGAUGCAGUAAAACUUAGCGGCCAAAGAUGUUAUUGUAACCAUCUAUGCCGAAGAGAAGCCGGCCGACGUUGCUAAAAGAGCCAAACGUCACCAGACAAAAGCCGACCACCCACCAUUAUCGUAACGAGGGAUGUCGGACAAAAACCGGUAAACACCGGACGGCAUAAACCACCGCUAACGUAGCUGGAGGUUGACGGAUUAAAGCCGGUAAACACCGGACGACAGAACCACCACUCUCUCUCUAAAAGUUUUUUCAGAGAGUUAAGAGAGAGAGUCAUAUUCUUCUAUGGUUACGAUAUCAAAAACAGAGUUAAUUUGUUGAAUAAGUUAAGACAAAUAAAUCAUAAAAUAAAAUAAAAUUGUUCAAUAAGAAAUACAAUAAUAUAUCUUUUCUUGGGUCACGACUCACGAUAUAGAAAAUAGAGUUUAUUUGUUAAGUAGCCAAAAUAGAAAAACGUAUUGCUUUGUAAGCUACGUUGCAUGGAAACGGAAACGGAUACGCGGAAAUGAAAUUCGGAAACGAAAAACGAGUUUUUAUGAAAUUAAGAUAUAGAAACUUGAACGGACAAUCGUUCCAUUUACUACUGUUCACUUUUCUCUCUCUGUGUACGAUUUUUUAGAUCUAGCUUUUUUUUUAUUUUUUCUUUUGCCCAGAUCUUUAUGGCUUGACUUUUUCAGAAGAGAAAGGGCAGUAAGAGUGAGCUUCCAUUCAUUCCCGUCAGCGUAGAGGUGGGUUCCGACAAACGAUAUGGUUGUAGCACAUCCUCGGUGGCUGUAAAAUCUCUGAUCUUAAUAUCUUCGGUUGAAGACUACGGAUGUUUGCUUUGGAGAUUUUCUAGGCUCAACCAUCGUGUUUGUUUCUAUGGUCGCGGCGGAAGUUGUUUGUUGGUAAGGAGGGUGAGCUGUCCGUUUAGUAAUUAGCAGUGGAUCUUUUGAUCGUAGCCGACUGUCGUGGAUAUUGGUUUUGGAGGGUUGUUGAGCCACCAAGCCUCCUUAACUACCAUGAUUACUGUUUAACUAAACCGGAUCUGUGUUUGGUUGUCUCGGGAAAAGGUUGUUAGUAGCUCUUCGAAGGUGGCUGAGUGUUAUGUUUGUGUCGGAUGAGUUGCUAGGAAGGGGACUCUCCGUUUAUGGAGGCCAUCCAGUCGGAAAAUGGGUAUUCCCGAGAGGUGUGUUGCAGAGCGGCGGGUCAUUUGAGCUGAUUCGGAGCCGGUCUCGUAUACUCCGGCUCCAUGAAUUUGUCUCAUUCGAUUCAGCAGCGAAGUAGUCUGCCUCGUAUACGUCGGAAAUGGAUGCCGGAGUUUCUGCGGCGGCUAAUCAGCUCAGAAAGAUCUUAGCUGCUUGAUUAGGGCGAACCCUUUUUCUGUUCGUGUAACUUUAUCUUUUGUAAUUUGCAGGUCCAAAAGCCCAUUUGGGAUAAGGCCCAUUAAUAAUAAUGAAAAAAAACAAAAGAUAUAGAAACGUGUUGGAAAUGCUAAUAAUAUAUACAUAUAUCCAUAUAUAUAUAAUAUUAACAUUAAACAUCCAAACUAUAUUAAUUUUAAAUAUUUGAAAUAACUCGUUAAUAAAAAUAUAUAUACUAAAUAGUUUAACUAAAAGAUAAAUAUUAAAACACUGAAAUCCAAAAUUUAGAUAUUAAUAUAUCAUAUAUUAUUGUAUAUGUGUAUUUAAAUUAAAUUAAUCAGGUUUUAAAAGUAUAAAAGUAAUCACUCUAUAUAUUAUAAAUCAAAAUUUUUGUUUAUUAAAUUUCUAAACUAAAAUUUUAGGAUUUCGUCGAGUUUCCAAAAUGAAAACGCGAGUUUCUACGGUGUUUCUAAAUAAAAAAAAAAGUUAGGAAUCAUGUUUCCAUUAUAGUUUCCGAGUUUUCAAAAGUUUCUGUUUCCGAAACGGGAAACGGAUUUCGAAAAGAGUUUUCAUGCAAAUUUGACAAUGCAAAUAGAAAAUUGGCUAAUUUGUAAAAUGAUCAUUAGGCAAGGUCGGUUUGGUUCGGUGGUUCAUAUAUUCAACUUAGUAGGUUUGGCUAACACACUCGAGCCUAAAGUAUCUUCAGUUCACUACAUUUGCGAAAUGGUGGUAGAGGCGGUCAAGCAAGAGUAAAAGUGGUGGACAACAAGAGUCAGCCCGUGCUCAAUGCGGCAGGACAACCUCGAGUCCAUGUGGUUCCACCACUUAUUUAAGAGCAUGUUCCUACACAGAUGUGAUCAAAGUUGCAUAUGGAGGCAGAAGCAAAGGAGAUAAAAGUUCAGUCAACAUGAGACGAAAAUGGUGUCAUGACGACUUCACCAGGACAGUAACGAAAACUCGAAAAGCAUUAAAGUACUAGUAGUAGUAGAAGCCACAACUUCCACAAAGCUUCAAUGUCAAAAUACGUACAACACUACUAGAUGAACACAUAUUAGAGGAAAUCUUUCAUUGGGUCCUCAUGGUGAACUCUCUUCAUCCUGUAAGCUUCCAUCUCUUCCGGAGUAACCUGCGAUGAAACAAGAGGUUUCGAUUAAUCUCUACUAAAAUCAAGGAUAUGAUACAAUCACUAGUUAGAAAUUUUUUUGAUUGUUUAAUUAGAUCAUUACAUCGUUGUUGUAUUUGACGUUGUACUUGCGUUUCCUUUCAUCUUUUUCUUCUCUUCUACUGAGAUCCUCCUGCGAAACAAGAACAUAAGCGACAAAGUCAGAGAAAUCUGCAGGUCAAAGAAACGUUUUUGAAAAGAGAAAAAUGUGACUGAAACUAUGGCUUCUUACCUUUUUAAGAGCAUUAGCAAGUGCCUCCUCGUUCAAUUCCAAGUCUUCAGGAAUAUCAGUUCCCCAUGAGGCCAUUCUCUUCUCUUCAACCUUUUUUGGACUCUCUGAUAACCAAAAUACAAAACCAAUGUUACAUGGCCUAAAAAGUAAAACAGCAUUACAAAAUAUAUAUAGAAAUCAUUAGAAAGUGGAAGAAUAAAUAGAGUCUAUACAAACCUUCAGUGGCUUCUUUUCGAGCAAUAUUAGCUUUCAUCAGGUCAAGGGCAGCCUCUGCAGCUUCAAUUCCAGCAGAACCUGUGCAGUAGCUAUUGCGAAUGGUCUGCUGGCAACAUUUAUAACCCCAUUGAUGGUCUUUCCAGUAUGAGCCCCAAACACUGGUGUGAUUAUUAGCAUGAACAUCUUCUUCAUAUUUACUCUUUGGCAAUAUCACCUCCUGUACACAACAAAAAACUAUUAAGAACGAAAUAGAUUCACGCAAAAAGCACACUUCUCAUAUGCUAGUCAUAUCAGAAUAAGAAUGCACCAGGUAAUAACUCAAGGAAACCAUCAAAGACCGUACCUGUCCCUUUAUAAUCCUCCCAGCUCGGUCAUACUCAACCUGUCUUUCACUUUGCCCAAGCAACAGCUCCAUUGGAAUUUCAUCUUUUGUAGCUGCAUUCCCGUACUUGUCCAUGAUUGUGUCCUUUGUCUGAGAUUUUAGUUUGUCCUUUGCAACCUGAAAGCUCUUAUAAAGCAAUUCAGCUUGGGAGGGAGCAGCUUGCAUAUGCAUGUCCUGUCCCUUGUCAAAUGCCUCCCAUGAAUGGAUGUUUAGCUGUUUGAACUCCAAGGCUUGGCCACUGUUUCUAUAUUGGUUAUCUCCCUGGAUAGAUGAAAAAAAGAUAGUUAGUAUGUAAAUAUCAUCAAAAUAUAAAAUACAACUACAUGAUCCAUGAUGAGCAUGAUACUAACCAGAUAAAAUUUGUCAUUUGGAUCUGCAUCUGGAAGCGGGUCUUCACGCAUGGAUCGGGUUUUAGGGUCAUAAUGAGCUGAGUUGACGUCAAGGUUCAACAAGUAUUUUGCAGUGUCUUCUCUGAUACGCAGAUUUCUGAAAUUAAGAGAAGGUCACACCAUUAGUGCAUCAAGUAAAAGAUUCCAGCCAAAUAAACCUAUGUGAUGAGAGAUGAGAUAUUUUGUAGAUGAAAAAUAAUGACUAGUCCAUACCUUACAGUUCCUGUGCUACCACCACCAGUUGUUCGAACACGCUUUUCAACCUUCGCGAAAUCCAUCUGCCUGCUCUCAUCAACCUUGGCUUCAUCGACCCUUAAGUCAUCUUCUUCUUCAUCCCCAUCACUGGCUGCAUCAUCACCUUUUUCGUUAUUGUUCUUUUCCUCAAGUUUCUUCAGUUGCUGCUCCUUCAGGUACUUCUUUCGUGCAUCCUCUUUUGCUUCAUAAAGAUCUAUCACACGAUGGUAGGUUGAAGGAUCAUAACCGUUCCAUCGAUCCCUCUUGCCAUCAUAGUCAAGUUCAAAACUCUCAAUUUUCUCAUCUGGUGCAAUAUUCUUGUUUGUGUAUUUUGCCCCAAUCUUACGAGGCCUAUCCAUACAAGCUUUUGCAUUAUGUGUCAUUGCACCACAGCUUCAUAAAAAAAAGGCAUCCCAAGUUAGAGAGUGAAUAAAUUAAAACAAAUAAAAAUGUUUCAAUCUUUCAAAGUCAAAAAAUCAUAUAUUGGGUUUAGAAAUGUCACAACAACCAACGCCAUAAACAUUCAAUGGAUUGAAUCACAAUACUAAAACUGAAGCAAUAGAAACAGACAGAAAAAGAAAAGAGGGAGGGACAUACUUUUGACAUGCUCCCUUCCGGUAUUUUUCGGCUUGAAAGAUCUUUGCACCUCUGUCAUACCAUGACUUAGUGUAAUUAGGAUCACUCUUCCAUUUCCUUUGAUGCUUCAAACUCUGUCAAAACCAAUCGAAAUAAAAGAGUAUUCAGUGUGAAUGUUCAAACAAGAAAAUUCAGAGAAGCAACUGAACGAAAGAAGGAUUUAGCUUACCGGUUUUUCAGAAUUGAGAUACCAUGGAGCAGAUGACAUAUACUGCGGGAUAUGAGGAUUAAUCUCCUUUCCAUCCUCAUCGACCUCAGCUGGAGCAAGCCCAGCUUUACGAGCUUCCUCUAAUUCAAUUUGCUUCCUAUGAUCUUCUCUAGACUUAAAAGCAACUGCAAAUUUCCCAAGAACAUACGUCAGAUAAAAUUCAGAACUGACUAUAUAAUUAACUCUGCAAAUUGGCCAAAAUAACAAACAUCAGAACAAUAAGUAGCCCUAUAUAAAUUGAGUACCAUACUGUAUCUCACAUAGAGAUGAAGGAAUUUGCAAAAUACCAAAAAAACGAACCUAACAACGGAAAAAUAUGUACAAACUCAAAUCAGAGACUCUAAAUAUCACCCAACAACAAACAAAAUCACCCAAAGCAACAAAUCAGUAAGAAAAGCAAACUUAUUUGGACUCUUUAGUAUCACUGAUUUCGAUCUAACCUAAACAGAGAGAACCCAUGAUACGAACCCUAACUUCUAUCAGAACAGAGAUUCUUGACCACGAUAGGGAAAUCGACUAUCAAAUCGAGAACUUGAAAGAGAAAUUGAACGAAUCGAUCACAAACAAGAAUACCAAAAUCUGAAUCAAACUCGUAAGUUUCACAAAUUGGCUUAAAUCAAAACCCAAAACAGAGAAAUACAGAGAGAGACUAAGAUACGACAACUUCCAAAAACAGUAAGAACCCUAAAAUUUCACGAUACGAAAUAAGGAUUCAAAAUAGAGAUUCUCGAACGCCAAAGAGAAAUUAAGAACCAAAUCGAGAGACAGGUUGAAGUAAUUUAGAAGAAAAAGUUGAAGGAUUUGGAACCUGAAGCCGUCGCCAUGUUUAUCUGAUCGUUAAGCUUUCGACUCCUCUCUGAGGUGAUUUAUGAAGAAACGAAGAAGAAGAAAAGGUUACGGCUUUUAUGGUAAAAAAUUCAGGAGGUGAUUGAAUGUGUAAUCGAAUAUGGGCCUAUAAGGCCCGCCACUAAUUUAUUCUCCAACCAAAGAAUGUGUAAUCAAAUAUGGGCUUAUCAGGCCCACUACUAAUUUGCUUUCCAACCAAAACCAAAGCAAGAUUUUGGACUCAAUCUAACUCAAUUAAUGCCAUAAUAACCCUCUCUUAUAUAUUGUGCUAACAAAGAUAAUAUUGAGAUAAAAUUUUAAAUCUAAUAGCAAUAAUUAACAUUGUUCAUUCGUAGUCGAUAACACUAUUUAUCAUGAUAACUUUAAAGUUAUACGAUAAACUCAUAUUCAACGUGUUAUUAUACAAUUGAUAUCGGCUAACUUUUAUAUUAAAGUAUUAGUUACUGUGAUAAAUGAGUUAUUAUAGUUAACUUAUACAUUAUCAUACUUAUCUUCAUGAAAAUUUAAUUGAUUUAUCGCCAUAAAUAUUAAGAAAAUGAUGAUUGUUGUGGUUAUUUUGUUUAUUAUCGAGGUAAAUCAUCUUUUAUGCGGAUAAGUUUAUAAGAUACAAGGUAAACUUAUAUCUAUCAUGUUAAAUUAUUGAUUAUUUGAAAGAAGAUAUUAUAAAACAAAACAAUGGUAAAAAUGUAUAAACACCACUCUCUCACUCUCUUAUUUAUCUAAUUUCUAAAAUCACAUAGUUAGAUACUUAAUUAUAUAGUUUUCCAGGUAUAUACAAUGGUAUUUCUCUAAAAAUAAACUAGUCACUAUAAAAUUUGCUAUUUUGCUAACAAACCAAAUAUACAUUUAACAAGAAACUAAAAUAUAGAAAUAAUAAAAUACUUAAUUGUAAAAACAUUUCCUUAACUUUUUGGUGAUUCAAUGAUUGUUGAACGAUUAUUAUGGCUAAUAAUUAUACUUUUUUAAUUGUUUUGAAUGUUUCUUCUUUUCUUUUUUUUUGAGUAGUUGUAAAAUCUUGAGUUGUUAGAAAUCCAUUAAACAGUAACCAGUCUUCUGGUUUUGAAGAAUGUUAAUUCUAUAAAUAUAAUAAUGCUAUUUUUAGCAAAACGGAUCUUAAGAAAGGAAAAAAAUUAGCACAAUUUGUUCAUAAAAAUAUGUAAAAAUAGAUAAAAACUUUAAAAUAAUUUUCAAAUAUUAUGCUGAGAAGAAAAAAAAGAAUUUUUUUUAGACUUGUUUUUAGAGCUUAAAAAUCAAAGAGGAAAAAAUAAGUGGUUGUGUGAAUUAUCUAAAGAAAGUCUGAUCGACAAAAAAAAAAAAAUUUAAAUGCUCCGACAUCCUUGAAAGCUCUGCGCCAAUCGGCCCCUAAAACAACAUCAAACCAGCAAAAAGCUAAAAUUCGAUUUAUAAUUUUUUUUUUUGGGAAAAACCAGAAUUCUAUAGUUAAACAAUGGAUUUACUUUAAUUAGUGUGACCAUAUGGUUGCUUUUAUAUUUUACUAUAAAUAUAGAGAUCUCUAAAUAUAGAGUAGAUGUUUUCUAAUGGUUAUAAACCUCUAUUUUUUACUCUAAAAUAAAUAUGGCAAAGUAUAUAUAUAUAUACAUAUUAUUAAUUUAAGAUAAUUUUUUACUCUUAAAAUCUACAAAUUAUAUCGAUUUAUUUUAAUUAAAAAUCAAAAAGAUAAUAUUAUAUCUUUUCAUAAUAGAUUGAGAAAGAAAAGUGAGAUUCUUGUUUAUUAUUUUGUCAUUGUAUUGUUAGUUAGAUAAUAGAUUGAGAAACCUGGGAAUCUUGCUAUCUUUUUGUCAUUGUACCAUCAAUUCAUCUAUAACUUACCUCUCCGAUUUUUAUCUCCAUUCAACCCUUUCACAAUUUUAUAUACAAACCUUCACCUUCUCUUAUUUUUUAACAAGAAUGUCUGGUUCUCGUUCUUCGGGAUAUUCUAAAGAAGAAGAUAAGUUCUUAUGUGAAGUCUAUCUAAAAAUUUCUCAAGAUCCAAUCACUGGUCAUUAUCAAUCAUCCGAUCAUUUCUGGGAUCGUGUGGUGAAAGCUUUUGAGGAUGGAAAAAAUAGGACUUGGAGUAAACGUUCGAAAAAAUCUCUCCAAUGUCGAUUUCAGAAUAUCGAGAGAGCAACAAAAAAACUACAUGCAUGCAUAAGACAAUGUGAAAAUAGUUGUCAAAGUGGUGUUUCAAGUGAUGAUAUCGUGAGUAUUUUAUACGAAUUUUAGUUUACUUAUUUGUCUAAUUAUUUAUUUAUUUUAUUUUGAAAUUGUAUGUAGUUCAAUCAAGCGAAAGAAAUGCUAAUGCAAGAUUCAAGAUUCAAAUCUGGUUGGAAAUUUGAUCAUGUAUGGAACAUUAUUAAAGACUUUGAAAAGUUUAAAAAUGGUGUCACCUCUGCUAGAAAGAUACAAAAUCCAUGUGAUUUGAGACAUACAUCUUCAGAGUCAGAAAAUACUAUCCAUGAUUCCAUUCCCUCGGUGUCUCCAGGUUUGUCUUCAUUUGAUCUUAAUUUAGAUGAAGAAGAUGACAUAAUUGGCAGAUCUCCGCCUCAACAACCAAGUGGGGUGAAAAAAUCUAAACUAAAAAGAAAAAACUAUGAUGAAACAUCGAAUGCUAUCAAGACUUUAGAUGGAGGAAAUAAACAACUUUUGGAGCAACUAAAGAAGAUAAGCGAACAAAGACAACAAUAUUUGGAGCUUCAAUGUGAACAUUUAGCAUUGAAAAAACUUAGAACAGAAAACAAAAUUUUAUGUCAAAACUUAAGUUCUAUUGAAGAUCCAAAUAUUCGUGCCUAUAUUCAAUCUGAGCAAGCAAAAAUCUUAAAGAAAAGGGUUGAUUAACAAGGUCUUUUGGCAUCUACUUUAAUAAUCUCUACGGAUCAGGAAACGAUCUAGAAGAUUUAUUAAAUCACUAGAUUAUGAUGGUCUAGUUAGUUUUGUUAAAGACAUGUUUUUAUUUGGGAGCUUUUAUUUAUAUUUUAGUUUAUAGUGCUCGUUAUGUAUUUUUAAUAUAAUUAUUAUUUGUUCUUUCAUUAUAUUUUUUAGUUAAGAUAUGUUAUUUUGUUUUUUAAGUAUUAAAAUAAUUUAACAUAUUUUAUUAAAUACUAAUCUUUAUAAGUGUAUAAAUUUUUAUUACUUAAUUUUGUUUAGGUAUAUCAUGGUAGCAUAUGAAAAUAGAAUGAUCACUUUGUAAAUAAAAAAAACUAAUUUUAAAACUAGAUAAAUGAAUAGUAUAAUUCCAGAUUAGAUUAGGAUAUAAAGUACAAUUGGAUAUGCUUUUACUCUAAAUAUAGAGUUUAGAGUAAGAUACAUAGUACCAUUGGAGAUAUUCUUAAAUAAGUAAAUAAUGGAUUUACUAUACUUUUUCAAUAUGAAAACUAGGCUAGGACGACGCCGUUUUGAUCACUUAUUUGUUACAAAACCAAAGCAAGAUUUUUAAGAUGACAAAUAUAAACAUAAAUUGCUAGUAACAGUAGUUAUAUGAUUUCAUUUUUUUUAAUUAUAAAUUUUAGUUUACUUAAUUUGGUUUUGAUUGUAUUGAAAAUGACCAUAGGUCAACAAAACAUAAAAUGUGUGUGAAGUAAAAAAGCAAAAACUACCAAACAUAUGUGUGUAACAAAAAUAAGUAAUUUAUUUAUACAACAAAGCUCUGAGAGUAUGAGACACAAUCAUGUUGUGUAGAGGAGAACUAUAUAACAGUGAAAUGUAAAUAAAUAAAUAAAUUUAGACAUACUUAUAACCUAAGUCUAAAUUUGCAACUACUACUUUGAAUCUUAAUAACAUUAUUUGUUGCCAAGCUAUCAACAAAUACACCACACCUGACCAAGAACCUCACUUCAAAGAGCUUUAACUUCCCAAAUUUAACCCGAACCGGUUGGUUAACUCUAAUUCUCAACGGUAUAUUCCCGGUUCUUUGUUGUUGCUCUUCUAAUGUUGUUCUUAAACUCAAUGCAUUCUGAGUUUGACCAGUCAUUUCUACGUAUAUCACUGUUGUGUUUUCAUGGCCUUGGUAAAAUUUUGGCAACGAUCCUAUAAAACAAAAUUCACAAAAAAAGUUCAGUUAAGUUAAAAUCUAAAAUAAGAUCAAGGGUUGGUAUUUUGUAAACCAAUUUUAAUCAAACAAGAAAACCGGUUAACGUAAGCAAAUUCGUUAAGUUUUUGGGUGUUCAAUCCGGUUAAACCAAUAUAAGUCGACUACUCUAACCAAAAUAUUGAUACGAAAAAGAAUAAUAAAUUAAUUCUGAUUUAGUUCACCAAAAAAAAAUUAAUUCUGAUUUAAAUAAUUAACUCUUUUAUAUCCGAAAUUUUUAAUAUGAAUCAAACAAAGAAAAACUAUAUUAAACCAAAUUGUGUUUACAAACUAAAGAUAUAUUUGACUAUAGUCUAAUCCAAAAUGAAACCAAAUAUGUAACAACCAUCCAUUAUAUAAAAAAAAAUUGAAUAUUUUUUUUUUUAAAAACAGAAAAUCCGAAAACCGAAAAUUUGAAUCAAGCACCCGUAAUUCAAACUUUGAUAUAUCGAGAACCGGAAUCAACCAAAAAACCAGUUUGAACUGAGAUUUUUGAAGCAUUUCUACGUUUAGUCGGGGCUAAAUCAAAAUUGAUGUACCAUUACUUAAGGUAUAUAAACUUGAUGUAAUCAUAAUCCAUAAUAAAUAUAAUUUUAUUUUGCAUAUUAUUAUUUAAAACCAGAAAAUCCGAAAACCAAAAAAUCCAUAAACCGAAAAAAUGAAGCCAAACAGAAGAGAACCGGAAAGAAACAAGCGGACGAGAACCGAAAUUAACCAAAUAAACCAGUUUGUACCGAGAUUUUUAAUAAAAAGAAUCAAAAUAAACCAAACCGGAGUAAAACCAAAAUUGACGUACCAUUGCUUAGUUGAUGUUCCAAGUACCACACAGUAAUCUUACUCCCAUCUUCAUAGUAAAUCCCAAUCUUCUCAUUAGGAUUCUUAGCAGUAAUAGUAACAUUAAAAGCCGUAGUCAAACUCGAAUCUUGGUUAACCGCAAACCGGGUAAGCUGUAACCGAUCAAUAGAGUAAUCCGGUAACUUCGGUUUAAAGACAAGGUAAAGUAUACCAAUCGUCGCGCCUACUACAACAACAAGUAACAAAAGAAAACAAAACGUGUAACAAACACAUGUACAACAACAGCUUCUUGAUCCUUUCUUCUUUGGUGGAGUCAAAGGCAAGAACCGUUGUGGCCUUUGGUUCAAAGAGUCUUCUUUAGAUGGGUCUCCUUGUUCUGAUCUUGAUGAACCACGAGGAACCAAAGGAGCCGUUGGUCGUGCCGCUGGAGCUUCAGGGUCAUGGACCGGAUAGAUUUUUUGGUGUUGAGACAUUCUUGAUGAAUCUUGAUGAUACCAAAGAAGAAGAAGAAGAGAUUUAGAUUUUUGUUUAGGGGUUAGGGAAACGAAUAUAAGGAACAAGUGUAUGGGUUUAAAAGUCAAUAAGGAAGAAGUUUUCAAUGGGUAGAGAGACUUAUAUAACCUAUGGUUUUAAUUUUGGUUAUUUGAGAGAAUAUGAAAACGAGUAAACUAGUUUACCAUAGAAGAGGACACACGUGUGAUUUGAAUUUGCCGUGUGGUGUUGAGGUAGCGGUCUUUUAUGGUGAAUUUGAUGUGACACUGUUAGAUAAAUUUAAAAAUCUUAGUAGGUGAAAUUGUAUACGUAAUUCAUGUGUGUGAACUUGUGUAAUGUAUAUGGAAAAAAAUAUAGUGACUUUUAGGAAAACAAACCAUACCUAAUUAAACAACUAAAAAUACAUAUAUCCACUUUAGUGUAUAAUAAGAUGAUGUUAAUAAGAUGAUCUUUCAUCUCUAGAGUUCUACUCUUUUUAUAUUCUCAAAAUAUGUUUUUUCUUGUCAUUUUGAUAAUUGUAUCCUAAAGUACAAAAAGCCAAUAACUCAACUCGUAAAAAUUUCUGGCAAAACCUUAGAUGUAUAAGCUUCGACCCAUAUUUUUUUAGUUAUUUUUAAAAUAUAUAUAUAUAUAUAUAUAUAUAUAUAUAUAUGCUUUUGAAUAUUUGGAUUUUGAUUAUGAGUAUAUAUUAUAAAGUCAAAAUAUCAAUUUUUGUUGACCUAAUCUCUCUUGACUUAUGUAGCAGUGUUCUCAUGCAUGCCGUCACGGUUCUUUUUUUUUUCUUAUAUAUACUUAUUUUCUAAACUUGCCACUGAAUUUAGUUUUUCUUGUCCAGGAAAAAAGAAAAAAGAAUUGAUCAAACUGAUCAUAUCCCCAACCAUUAUUAUUUAUAUAAUUUAUUAUAAGUUCAAAUUCAUUGAUCAAUUUUAUUUUAUUUUUUAAAAUAGUGGGGAUUAGUUUUAAAAUAAAAUAAAAAUAGUGACUGAGAAAAGAAACAAUCUUAUUGUUCUUUUUUUCUUUUGUUGACAUAAUAAAAUCCAUCUUAUUGAAUUUUUUUUAUUGUUGACAUGUCAACGAAAAUUUCUAGAAGACUAUUCUCCUGCUGGUCAUAUUAAACUAGUCCUUUUUGCGUAUUAGGUACUCUAUAAAAGUUCUACGUAUAUUUCGUUGAGAUGGUUAACUUCGUUAAAGGACUUUGUAUUCCUGAUUCAGAAGCUUCCAAGAGCUCACUACAAAGCGUUUAGGAGAUCUUUGUGCCACAUACAACUCUUUAUCUUACAUGAGAUGAUGAGACAUUAGUCUAGAGGAGCCUUGUUUGGUUUUGAACAUGUUCAGAUGUGCCAUUGUAUCCGACUGUGCAAUAUUUCACUUGUUCUAUUGAUGAAUCCUUGAAAAAAACAUCGAUUACACUAGUGUUGUGGGAUAGGCCGCCGGAUCCAAAACCCAUACCAGAACCUGUGGUCUCUUUUUUGCGCUUAAUAUUUAACAUUGAGUUCGAAGUUUCUUAAACGAUUAUUUUUUAUUUAGAUUCGGAUAAAAGAUUCAAAACCAAACCAAAUCCAAAGCGUAUUUCGUUUAUCGGGUAUAGUCCAAAACGAAUCGAAGCUGAUGGAUGUUUAUCCGAACCCGAACCCGAAUACUAUAAAUACCCAAAUGGGUCUAUGACCCUUUUACUGAAAUACCAAAAAAUCCAAAAUACCCGACACAAGCCCGAUCGGGUACCCGAACACCCAGUGAGAUAUGUUCUUCAAUUUUUCAUGAUGGGACGACAACAUACAUCAUGAAACCAAGCCGACUCGAGGUACUUCCCCUCUCCAAUACGGAGGUGCAUAGUUUCAUAUGUGCUAUGGCCAAUUUGCUUCACAAGGUUUAGGCCGAUAAAAAAGCUGAAUUAAAAACCGAACAUAUAACGUGUUAACGAUUGAAUGAAGUUUCUAUGUCACAACCGUGUAACCAUGUUAUAAGGUUUCCAAAUUUAGUUUCAGCUUACAUUUUUACUUCCACCUUGACUCAGAUAUCAACUAGUUUUGAAGCAAACAACGGCGAAACGUUAUACAUAGAAUAACAUAUAACCUUCUUGUCCUUAGAAUACACAAAACAGACAACUCUCCCAGACAUUGAUGACAUCAAAACAAACUAUCCAAAUUGUUUACAAUCAAAUCUUCUCUUUGUUUUAGAUCUCACCAUAGCUAUUUUCAAUCAAUGCACGACGGGUUUCAAAGGUUGAGCUCUCAGUUUUGAUAAGUCCAGGCUUGCAUCAAGCUCCUCGUCUAGCUCCCCAAUAACACCUCUGAUUAAAUAAAAACAAUUGCCGAGUUAGAAUAUUGCCAAUGCUAGGCAAAUGCGAAAAAGGAAAACGAGGAUGAGAUUUAUACAUGUUGUCGCCUCUGAUAAUGUACAAACCCAACACAACUUGUUGUACUCCUUCCUGAAAGCUCAAGACACAUAAAACACUAACACAUUAAAAGAUCUUACCCUGAAGAGAGAGAGAAAGAGACUGAAAAAUACAUAGUAAGAGGUCUCAAUGCUAAAUCAGAAACUUAAGGGUGGUUUAAAAGCAACUUUGUUCAUAUUUGAAUCCACUAGACACUAAUGGAAGUCAGUAUUACAGAAUCUAAAGAUGCAAUUCUUAUGAGAUCACAUGCCCUUCUCCGCUUCCUAACAUGUUUUAGUCACAAAUGACAUGUAACCGAAAUAUUUUUCUCCAAUUACUCAUCAUUUUAACAGAAACAUCUCUAUUUCUAAGCCAAAAAAUCUCCACAGAUGUGCCAUUACGACGAAUACUAAUCCCUCCCAAAAACACUGGCCUAAUGGAGUAUUACAGUCUUGGUCCAAACAAGAAAACAAAAAGGAAUUAAGCCUUUAAGCAUCUUUAUGAAAACAAAAAUAAAUUAUGUACACACUGCCAGUAAAGGUUUGACUCACAUAGAGCUAGCUAAAGCAUUUGUUAAAUGCAAUCACAAAAGUUUCCAUUUCAAUUAUAUAACAUUUGAUGAAUUAUAGACUUUAUAGCACUAAAACUAUUUCAGUGUAAGCACCAUCGCCAUAUCUGUAGUCGCUAUCUACAAUUUCUGAUUUAGUUUCUUCCAUUCAGAGGCCAAUUAUUACUUUAUCCACUCAAAGUACUAUAGAAACCAGCCUAUCUUAAAUGUCAGACUAUGUUUUUUCCUCAAUAGAUGGCAUUACACAAAAUAAACCAAGCAAUGACUCAAUGUACAUUAUUAGCAAGAACAUACAAACAAUUAAACAUCCAGAUGGAGAAAAAUGCUCUGACAAUGAACAUAAAUCAAACUAGCAUCCUAGUGAGCUUGCACCUCAAUUUUUCUAAUUCUAACGGAUCACUACAGACACGACAUGGGGACAUCAAGAACUCUGCUACAUUAUACAACCCUAAUGAAAAUGACUCUCACGGUUAGAUGUAACAAUUCAAGGGUCCAAGCCACAAAAUCACAGACGGAACAAUGUUAUUAUAAAAAAACUGGCCAAUACUUGCAGAAACUAGUAUUCACACCCAUUCAAUUUAGUACUUUGAAACAGAAAUCAGAAGCUAAC
rnacentral:lncRNA from 1 species